GUGAUGUACAGUUAGGUACAUAGGUAUUUGGACAGCGAUGCUUUUUUUUCCUCCUCUCUGCAUACUACCAAAGUGGAUUUUAAGUCCAGCAAUAAAGAUGUGAUUAAAAUUCAAACUUUCAACUUCAACAAAAUGUUGUAAUAACUAUUCAGGAAUUCAACCAUUUUUAGACAAACAAAAGGGCUGGACAAGUUGUAAAGAUAAGGAUUGUUUGUAGUACUUGAAAAUCCUAGAAGUGUGGUACUAACUUGGCUAUUGUAGAGUGUUUCUAUGUCUUGAGAAACUCUUGGUUUGCUUUUGCAGUAUGCCUACUUUUAUUAUCCAUUUGCACUACAAAUUGCUGUCCAAUCGGUUUUGCAGCAGUUGGCUGAAUCUGAGCCCUGCACACCUCAGAAUUCAUGCUGCUACUUCUUUCAACAGUCACAUCCUCAAUAAAGAACAGUGAUCCAGUUCUACUGGCAGCUAUACAUUUGACAUGUAGUUGAUAAGAUACUCCUAAACUAAUGUAAUGUUAUCUGUCUGAGAUUUUUUUCUCACUAGGUGUUUUUUUUUUUUUUUCUUUCAGCUUAUUGACACUGACCUCAACUUUUCUUUGGACCUCAUAUUGAGAGCUUUAGUCAAUUGCUACCAAAUACAAGUUCCAUCCUUAGAAAUUCACUCCAGAACUUUUAUCUGUUUAAUUUGUCAUUGAAUUAUGAGUCAUGUGGACAUGAAGUGGACAUGAAAUUGACAUAAAACUGGUUGUCGGUUACUUGUCUAAUUAUUUUACCUCUGAUAAUAGGGGCCAUGUAUUUAAAAUAUUUGUAUUUUGUUUUUGUUAAAACUCCUUCAAUUAAAGCUGAAAAUAUGCACUCCAGAUAUCUGGAUUGUCUUUAUUAAAAUUCACUGUGGUGGUCAAAUGAGAAAAUUACAAAAUUGUCUUGUUAUCCAAUAAACCAAUAGGUUGACAGUCUAAAAAUUGCUUAAUUUUAAGUAAGCAUAUAGCUUUAAAACAAAGAAGCAAACAUUUUUUACUUUUUUUAUUUUUUUCCCCACAUAUAUCAUUCUUAAUAUCAGACUGCUGCUCACAUAAAAUUAAGUUGGACUCUGUGAUGUUCAGGUCAAUAUGUAUGGCCAGUAAUAAUUGCAUACCUUCCUUAAUAGACACUUUUAUGUGUGUGUUAAAGGAAAAGUACUUGAAAUAAUUUCUGACUCGUGUUGUACUUAUAGCAAUUUACCUAUUGGUGUUUUUUUUUUUAUAUUUGUUUUCUUUAGCCUGUCUUUCUAUCUUUCUCUCCACAGAGACUCACUUUUAUACCUACGUGCUUGUACAGACAUACAUUCAAAUGCUCUUUUUCUCUUGCAUGUACCUAACUGUGAUUUAUAGGGUUUCCUGCUCUGGGUUCAUAAAAGCCAUGAUUUCCCAUAAAAUGUCAGUGAUGGUGGUUAAUAUGACACGUAGAGAGUGUGUGCGUCUGCGCCUCAGCGUAGCAGCGGAAACCUUACAGUCAUGUAAAAUAUUGAUAUUCCAUGUGAAAAUGUCAGAAUGAGAGACUGUGUGUAGUGUUGCUCAGCUUCAUGGGUGUUAGAGUCCAUUCUUCCCUUUGUUUCCUGAGGUGAAGCUUUAAAAUUCUUACUGCUAAAUAUUCAUGUGAACCUUUUUGGACUGUCAACUGAUGCAGACAUAAUUGAAUCCUUUAUUGUUUAUGUGUGUUUUUUGUUUCUCUCAGGAUGCUCCUGGAGAAAAGUUCAGAGCAGCGGCUGUUUUUUUCUCUGACCGUGUCUGGGGAAGCUAUCAUUCUGCGAUAUGGUCAGUCCAACAAUCAGACUUCUAUGAACAGCUUUAGAACAGAGGGCAGACUAGGACUGGAGAGCUGGACACAUCUUGUUUUGCAGAUCCAUGACAGACAUGCAAAUCUUUUCCUGGAUGGCCUCAAAGAGGAUGGAACACCAUUUGACACACAACAACUGACCACCAGGCUUUCUGAUGUCAGUGAGGAUGGUGCCAUGUGGGUGGGACUCAGCUCUAAGGGUAAAUAUGACUGUUUUUUGUUUUUUUAAGUAUUUUGAUUUGGGUUGUUUUUUUUAAUACAUUUUCAUGAAAUGCAUUUGAUAAAUUUCUUUACUUCAGCACCACAUUACAGCCAGAUGUUUUAGAUGCUUUACUUCCUCUGUUGUGUUGUUUUAAAUGUCUAUGAUGUCCAAACUGUAAAAACACUGCUUUAAGAAUAAAGAAUAAGCUUCACCUUUAUUAUCUGAGCCAGUACCACCAUCUGGUUUUUUUUUCAGUCCAAGAAGAGAAAAAUUACUUCUUAGUUUAUCAUGUCAGUAUAUCUUAAUAUGGUGUCAAUGACUGCUUCACCUUUAUUUUCCUCCGAGCCUUUAUCCUGCUUCAACUACACAUCUGUGAUUGAUUUGUAGUGCCUCCGAGCUGUCUAACAGUCAAUAGCAGAGAAAUUGAGAGAAAAAUGAUAUCCGUUCAUCUCCAGGGUGAUAAACGAGUGUUUUUCUUCUCGUUUAUCAGUCAUUGAUCCGUAGUUCACAGCAGGUAGCAGCUGAUCAGCUGAAGAUCACAACAGAGAGGAUGAUCAAUGCAAGUGAUUGGCUUGAGGGAGUGAGAGAGAAUCAGAGAUGUUGUGCGUGUGGUAGACGGAGAGGGAGAAGGGUUGUUGAACCCAGAGGCUGUGUCUAGAAUUCUUAUCAGUGGAUUGAUUAUGUAAAUACUGAUCAGAUGUAUUGAUUAACAGCUAUGUCUGUUUUUGGAUGGGAAAGUACUAACCGAAAACUGUAAGUACAGCGAAAAGAUCUUUAAAGGCCAACUACCAACUCAAAUGUUGUUAAGGACGUGUGAUCACUUGUCAAGAAAGUCCUAAAUCAGCUGUUAAUAAUACAUUAUUAAUAACUUUAAGGAGCUAACUUGGUGCAGAGGUGUGAAUAAUAUGUGUCCAUAUGGUACUGAAAAUCUUUAUCAUAAAUCCGUGUAAUCCCUAAG
ensembl:lncRNA